ACGAACGCUGGCGGCAGGCCUAACACAUGCAAGUCGAGCGCGCCCUUCGGGGUGAGCGGCGGACGGGUGAGUAACGCGUGGGAACGUGCCCUUUUCUACGGAAUAGCCUCGGGAAACUGAGAGUAAUACCGUAUACGCCCUUUGGGGGAAAGAUUUAUCGGAAAAGGAUCGGCCCGCGUUGGAUUAGGUAGUUGGUGGGGUAAUGGCCUACCAAGCCGACGAUCCAUAGCUGGUUUGAGAGGAUGAUCAGCCACACUGGGACUGAGACACGGCCCAGACUCCUGCGGGAGGCAGCAGUGGGGAAUCUUAGACAAUGGGGGCAACCCUGAUCGAGCCAUGCCGCGUGAGUGAUGAAGGCCUUAGGGUUGUAAAGCUCUUUCAGCUGGGAAGAUAAUGACGGUACCAGCAGAAGAAGCCCCGGCUAACUCCGUG
rnacentral:rRNA from 1 species